UGUGGCAACUGUCGUAGUUCC
rnacentral:piRNA from 1 species